rnacentral:rRNA from 1 species
CUACGGGCCGCUCCAGUGGGGAAUAUUGGACAAUGGGCGCAAGCCUGAUCCAGCAAUGCCGCGUGAGUGAAGACGGCCUUAGGGUUGUAAAACUCUUUCGCUAGGGAAGAUAAUGACUGUACCUAGUAAAGAAGUCCCGGCUAACUCCGUGCCAGCAGCCGCGGUGAAUACGGAGGGGACUAGCGUUGUUCGGAAUUACUGGGCGUAAAGAGUUCGUAGGCGGACUGACAAGUUAGAGGUGAAAUCCCAGGGCUCAACCCUGGAACUGCCUUUAAAACUGUCAGUCUAGAGACCGGAAGAGGUUAGGGGAAUACCUAGUGUAGAGGUGAAAUUCGUAGAUAUUAGGUGGAGCACCAGUGGCGAAGGCGCCUAACUGGUCCGGUACUGACGCUGAGGAACGAAAGCGUGGGGAGCAAACAGGAUUAGAUACCCCCGUAGUC